rnacentral:rRNA from 1 species
AUGGCGUGCGAGACCCAGAACGUCUCACGGUUGCCCGACGAAGUCGUCAUGGAGAUAUUUUCCUUCUUGCCGGCAAAGUCCAUCGGCCGCUUCCGCAGUAUGUCGCGUUCAUGGUGCGCCGAGCUCUCCUCGCCUUCGUUCGUCGAGUUCCACCGCUGGCGAGCCAACAAUCCAAACCAGCCCAAGCUCUUCUUUAGCGCCAACUUCGACGACGAGGCAGCCGGUUCCGAAGACGACAACGAGGCGACGAGGCAUCCGAUGAUUCCAAAGACGACGACGAGGCAUCCGAUGAUUCCAAAGACGACGACCAGGCAUCCGACGAUUCCAUAG